GCGGGGGAUAACUAUUGGAAACGAUAGCUAAUACCGCAUAAGAGUAGAUGUUGCAUGACAUUUGCUUAAAAGGUGCAAUUGCAUCACUACCAGAUGGACCUGCGUUGUAUUAGCUAGUUGGUGGGGUAACGGCUCACCAAGGCGACGAUACAUAGCCGACCUGAGAGGGUGAUCGGCCACACUGGGACUGAGACACGGCCCAG
rnacentral:rRNA from 1 species